CCUACGGGAGGCUGCAGUGGGGAAUAUUGCACAAUGGAGGAAACUCUGAUGCAGCAACGCCGCGUGGAGGAUGACGCAUUUCGGUGUGUAAACUCCUUUUAUGAGCCAAGAUAAUGACGGUAGCUCAUGAAUAAGCACCGGCUAACUCCGUGCCAGCAGCCGCGGUAAUACGGAGGGUGCAAGCGUUACUCGGAAUCACUGGGCGUAAAGGACGCGUAGGCGGGUUGGAAAGUCAGGUGUGAAAUCCUACAGCUUAACUGUAGAACUGCACUUGAAACUUCUAACCUAGAGUAUGGGAGGGGGAGAUGGAAUUAGUGGUGUAGGGGUAAAAUCCGUAGAUAUCACUAGGAAUACCCAAAGCGAAGGCGAUCUCCUGGAACAUAACUGACGCUAAGGCGUGAAAGCGUGGGGAGCAAACGGGAUUAGAUACCCUUGUAGUC
rnacentral:rRNA from 1 species